GAGAGCAAUGUCAUGUAUUCAAGGUGUUGGAUGUGGUGUGGCUUCCAAUCUGCCCAGCUAAUCCCAGUGCUCUGAGGAAGAGGCUGGGCAAGAAACUGAGAGAGGGGGAUUGGCAUUUGGGGAUCUACUGGGACAAGAAUUGCUGUGGGAAAUUUAGGGGAGGAGGGUGAAAACGGUUGGAUAUCAGGGUCUAAAGCAAACUGCUCCACAGCAGGUUUGAAGCACCUGAGAGGAAGGAAUUGCAAGCCCAGGUUUUGCUGCCUGUCUUCAUCCAGGUUGAAGAUCUGAUUUAUUUGGGGCUUGUUUACGGAAAAGAAACAUGACUCUCAAUUGCAUUGGAAAGGAAUGUCAUUUUUCUGACAGCAGGGAAGACUUACCCAUUUGCAGAGGAAAUGAAAAUAUGUUAGAAAAAGUACAUUCAAGCAGCAAUGAAGAUAAAACACCAGAAAGCUUUAUGCCUGCCUUUAUAUGAUUAUCUGGUGUGUGCCAUUGCCACAAGUUGCUGGGAGCAGACCCACUUUUCUGCAUUCAAUUGGCCUGAGGAACCAGCAUUAGACCCGUGCUCAGACUGCGCGGAAUCCUGCCUCUGCACCUGGAAAUCCUGCUUGUGUACUCCUCGAGAGAGCCGCCAGCAGAAAUCUUCAGCAAGGUCAGAGACUCUUAUUUGCCCUGAAACCAGAGGAUUCCAGCCUAAAAGUCCACAGGCAGAGACCUUGAAGAAUUGGACACUUGCAAUAGGCUGUGACGUAGCCCGGAGGGUGAUUUCUUAUUAAUCCAAAUUGUCUGCCUGACAAAACAGCUGGAUCUACUGUCUCUUACAAAUUUCUCCAGAGCUCUGCAGACCUGCCUGAGAUACUAAGGAUUGAAUUUCAGAAGCCUUGUAAAAAGAGAUGAGAAACUUUCUUCUUCUGUUGAUUUUGUUUUGUUUUGUCAGAAA